AUUGAACGCUGGCGGCAGGCUUAACACAUGCAAGUCGAGCGAGCGGCGGACGGGUGAGUAAUGUCUGGGAAACUGCCCGAUGGAGGGGGAUAACUACUGGAAACGGUAGCUACUACCGCAUACUAUCAGAUGUGCCCAGAUUGGAUUAGCUAGUAGGUGGGGUAAAGGCUCACCUAGGCGACGAUCCCUAGCUGGUCUGAGAGGAUGACCAGCCACACUGUAACUGAGACACGGUCCAGCAUCCUACGGGAGGCAGCAGUGGGGAAUAUUGCACAAUGGGCGCAAGCCUGAUGCAGCCAUGCCGCGUGUGUGAAGAAGGCCUUCGGGUUGUAAAGCACUUUCAGCGGGGAGGCGUUACUCGCAGAAGAAGCACCGGCUAACUCCGUGCCAGCAGCCGCGGUAAUUC
rnacentral:rRNA from 1 species